rnacentral:misc_RNA from 1 species
GAUGAAGAACGUAGCGAAAUGCGAUAAGUAAUGUGAAUUGCAGAAUUCAGUGAAUCAUCGAAUCUUUGAACGCACCUUGCGCCCUUUGGCCAUUCCGAAGGGCAUGCCUGUUUGAGUAUCAUGAACACCUCAACUCUUCAUGGUUUUCCGUGAUGAGCUUGGACUUUGGGGGUCUUGCUGGCCUAUGGUCAGCUCCUCUAAAAUAAAUCAGCUUGCCAGUGUUUGGUGGGUAUCACAGGUGUGAUAACUAUCUACGCUUGUGGUUUUCCACCAGGUAACCUUCAGCAGUGGAGGUUCGUUGGAGCUCACAGAUGUGUCUCUCCUCAGUGAGGACAGCUCUUUGAAUGUUUGAUCUCAAAUCAGGUAGGACUACCCGCUGAACUUAAGCAUAUCAAUAAGCGGAGGA